UUUUUAUUCGUUUUUUUAUUUCCACACAGAAAUAUGUGCUGUAUCACGUCAUUCAAAGAAAGAAAUAGGAAGAUGCUUCAAACUUAUUCGUCAAGCAGCAAACCCAGCAAUGAAUACUGUAUCAACUACUGACUUUAUGUCAAGGUAUUGUACUAAUCUUGGUCUGCCAUUACCAGUCCAGAAAGCAGCUAGCUUUAUUGCACAGAAAGCUGUUGAGCUUGAUCUUGCUCCAGGACGAGUUUAUCUAUCUGUUGCUGCUGCCUCUAUAUACAUGGCAUCUCAAGCAUCUGACAUCAAGAAGACACAGAAAGGUUAGUUAUUGUCUAUGUUUAUUUUAUAUCUUA
rnacentral:lncRNA from 1 species